rnacentral:rRNA from 1 species
AGCGAACGCUGGCGGCAGGCCUAACACAUGCAAGUCGAACGGCUCCUUCGGGAUUAGUGGCGGACGGGUGAGUAACACGUGGGAACGUGACCUUUGGUUCGGAAUAACUCAGGGAAACUUGAGCUAAUACCGGAUGUGCCCUUCGGGGGAAAGAUUUAUCGCCAUUGGAGCGGCCCGCGUUGGAUUAGCUAGUUGGUGGGGUAAAGGCCCACCAAGGCUACGAUCCAUAGCUGGUCUGAGGGGAUGAUCAGCCACACUGGGACUGAGACACGGCCCAGACUCCUACGGGAGGCAGCAGUGGGGAAUCUUGCGCAAUGGGCGAAAGCCUGACGCAGCCAUGCCGCGUGAACGAUGAAGGUCUUAGGAUUGUAAAAUUCUUUCCCCGGGGACGAUAAUGACGGUACCCGGAGAAGAAGCCCCGGCUAACUUCGUGCCAGCCGCCGCCGUAAAAC